rnacentral:rRNA from 1 species
AACGAACGCUGGCGGCGCGCCUAAUACAUGCAAGUCGAGCGAGAAGACGUAGCAAUACGUUUGUAAAGCGGCGAACGGGUGAGGAAUACAUGGGUAACCUACCCUCGAGUGGGGAAUAACUAGCCGAAAGGUUAGCUAAUACCGCGUACGCUCCUUGGACUUCGGUUCAGGGAGGAAAGCGAUACCGUGGGUAUCGCGCUCUUGGAUGGGCUCAUGUCCUAUCAGCUUGUUGGUGAGGUAACGGCUCACCAAGGCUUCGACGGGUAGCUGGUCUGAGAGGACAAUCAGCCACACUGGCACUGCGACACGGGCCAGACUCCUACGGGAGGCAGCAGUAAGGAAUAUUGCGCAAUGGGCGAAAGCCUGACGCAGCGACGCCGCGUGGGGGAUGAAGGUCUUC